CCUACGGGUGGCAGCAGUGGGGAAUAUUGGACAAUGGGCGCAAGCCUGAUCCAGCAAUGCCGCGUGAGUGAAGAAGGCCUUAGGGUUGUAAAGCUCUUUCACCCACGACGAUGAUGACGGUAGUGGGAGAAGAAGCCCCGGCUAACUCCGUGCCAGCAGCCGCGGUAAUACGGAGGGGGCUAGCGUUGUUCGGAAUUACUGGGCGUAAAGCGCACGUAGGCGGCGCGUCAAGUCAGGGGUGAAAGGCCUGGGCUCAACCUGGGAACGGCCUUUGAUACUGGCGUGCUGGAGUCCGGAAGAGGGUGGCGGAAUUCCCAGUGUAGAGGUGAAAUUCGUAGAUAUUGGGAAGAACACCGGUGGCGAAGGCGGUCACCUGGUCCGGGACUGACGCUGAGGUGCGAAAGCGUGGGGAGCAAACAGGAUUAGAUACCCGAGUAGUC
rnacentral:rRNA from 1 species